UACGUAGGUGGCGAGCGUUGUCCGGAAUUACUGGGCGUAAAGGGUGCGUAGGCGGGAUAUUAAGUUAGAUGUGAAAACCCUGAGCUUAACUUGGGGACUGCAUUUAAAACUGGUAACCUAGAGUGCAGGAGAGGUAAGCGGAAUUCCUAGUGUAGCGGUGAAAUGCGUAGAUAUUAGGAAGAACAUCAGUGGCGAAGGCGGCUUACUGGACUGUAACUGACGCUGAUGCACGAAAGCGUGGGGAGCAAACAGG
rnacentral:rRNA from 1 species